CUACGGGAGGCUGCAGUGGGGAAUAUUGGACAAUGGGCGAAAGCCUGAUCCAGCCAUGCCGCGUGUGUGAAGAAGGCCUUCGGGUUGUAAAGCACUUUCAGUGGGGAAGAAAGCCUUGGGGCUAAUACCCUCGAGGAAGGACAUCACCCACAGAAGAAGCACCGGCUAACUCCGUGCCAGCAGCCGCGGUAAUACGGAGGGUGCGAGCGUUAAUCGGAAUUACUGGGCGUAAAGCGCGCGUAGGCGGUCUGAUAAGCCGGUUGUGAAAGCCCCGGGCUCAACCUGGGAACGGCAUCCGGAACUGUCAGGCUAGAGUGCAGGAGAGGAAGGUAGAAUUCCCGGUGGAGCGGUGAAAUGCGUAGAGAUCGGGAGGAAUACCAGUGGCGAAGGCGGCCUUCUGGACUGACACUGACGCUGAGGUGCGAAAGCGUGGGUAGCAAACAGGAUUAGAUACCCGAGUAGUC
rnacentral:rRNA from 1 species